UUUUUAAUUGGACGACGUUACAUUCGUAGUAGUGAGCACAUGAACAAUUGAAGUUCGAGACGAGAAGUAUAUCAUGUGGCAAGAAAAUUUAUGAGUUGACAAUUCGCCACCACUUGUCACUGUUGACAGAUUAUCAUUGGUUCAACAUUCGAUAGUGAACGAUCCAUUUUUUUGUUUCAUCGGAGCGGGACAAUUGUGUAUGAACAGAUUUGACCAGGUGUGGUUGAAAGUCGAUUAAAGCUAUGGAUGAUGAGGUAAUCGGUGGUCAGCAAAACAACAAGAGGUCACCAAUGACUUUAAACGUUAGUGGACUAUGGGACGUGGUUCCUCGACUGGACCACUACAGAUUGAGUCGCCGAGCCAAGAGGCCAUCAUUGAGCACC